GACGAACGCUGGCGGCGUGCUUAACACAUGCAAGUCGAACGGAAAGGCCCUGCUUUUGUGGGGUGCUCGAUUGGCGAACGGGUGAGUAACACGUGAGGAACCUGCCCUUGACUUUGGGAUAACUUCUGGAAACUGGGGCUAAUACCGGAUAGGAGCUCCUGCGGCAUGGUGGGGGUUGGAAAGUUUCGGCGGUUGGGGAUGGACUCGCGGCUUAUCAGCUUGUUGGUGGGGUAGUGGCUUACCAAGGCUUUGACGGGUAGCCGGCCUGAGAGGGUGACCGGCCACAUUGGGACUGAGAUACGGGCCAGACUCCUACGGGAGGCAGCAGUGGGAAAUAUUGCACAAUGGGCGGAAGACUGAUGCAGCAACGCCGCGUGCGGGAUGACGGACUUCGGGUUGUAAACCGCUUUCGCCUGUGACGAAGCGUGAGUGACGGUAAUGGGUAAAGAAGCACCGGCUAACUACGUG
rnacentral:rRNA from 1 species